rnacentral:rRNA from 1 species
ACGACUCUCGGCAACGGAUAUCUUGGCUCUCGCAUCGAUGAAGAACGUAGCGAAAUGUGAUACCUGGUGUGAAUUGCAGAAUCCCGCGAACCAUCGAGUCUUUGAACGCAAGUUGCGCCCGAGGCCACUCGGCCGAGGGCACGCCUGCCUGGGCGUCACGC